rnacentral:rRNA from 1 species
CCUACGGGUGGCAGCAGUGGGGAAUAUUGGGCAAUGGGCGCAAGCCUGACCCAGCAACGCCGCGUGAGCGAUGAAGGUCUUCGGAUUGUAAAGCUCUGUCGCAGGGGACGAAGGAUGACGGGACCCUGUAAGAAAGCCCCGGCAAACUACGUGCCAGCAGCCGCGGUAAUACGGAGGGGGCUAGCGUGGUCCGGAAUUACUGGGCGUAAAGGGAGUGUAGACGGCUUGUCAAGUUAAGGGUGAAAGCCUGCGGCUUAACCGUAGAAUUGCACUUAAAACUGACUCGCUAGAGUGCAGGAGUGGUGAGUGGCAUUCCUCUUGUAGCGGUGGCAUGCUUAGAUCUUCGGCGGCACCCCAGCGGCG